UACGUAGGGUGCAAGCGUUGUCCGGAUUUAUUGGGCGUAAAGAGCUCGUAGGCGGUCUGUCGCGUCGGAUGUGAAAACCCAGGGCUCAACCUCGGUGCCUGCAUUCGAUACGGGCAGACUAGAGUACGGCAGGGGAGACUGGAAUUCCUGGUGUAGCGGUGAAAUGCGCAGAUAUCAGGAGGAACACCGGUGGCGAAGGCGGGUCUCUGGGCCGUAACUGACGCUGAGGAGCGAAAGCGUGGGGAGCGAACAGG
rnacentral:rRNA from 1 species